rnacentral:rRNA from 1 species
UGGGGAAUUUUGGACAAUGGACGCAAGUCUGAUCCAGCCAUGCCGCGUGCGGGAAGAAGGCCUUCGGGUUGUAAACUGCUUUUGUACGGAACGAAAAGACUCCUUCUAAUAAAGGGGGUCCACGACGGUACCUGAAGAAUAAGCACCGGCUAACUACGUGCCAGCAGCCGCGGUAAUACGUAGAGUGCAAGCGUUAAUCGGAAUUACUGGGCGUAAAGCGUGCGCAGGCGGUUAUGCAAGACAGAGGUGAAAUCCCCGGGCUCAACCUGGGAACUGCCUUUGUGACUGCAUAGCUAGAGUACGGUAGAGGGGGAUGGAAUUCCGCGUGUAGCAGUGAAAUGCGUAGAUAUGCGGAGGAACACCGAUGGCGAAGGCAAUCCCCUGGACCUGUACUGACGCUCAUGCACGAAAGCGUGGGGAGCAAACA